AGCCUCUUGAGUUCGUGCUGAGAUUAUGUCAGACACCAGACCAUCAGGAAUGAUGAGGCUCCCAAGACAGGUGAGGCU
rnacentral:pre_miRNA from 1 species